rnacentral:rRNA from 1 species
AAAUUGAAGAGUUUGAUCAUGGCUCAGAUUGAACGCUGGCGGCAGGCCUAACACAUGCAAGUCGAGCGGUAGCACAGGGAGCUUGCUCCCGGGUG